rnacentral:rRNA from 1 species
AGUGAACGCUGGCGGCAGGCCUAACACAUGCAAGUCGAACGGCAGCACAGUGCUUGCUUGUGGUUACGGGUGGGGAGGGGCGGGUGGGGCAGGGAAAUCUCGCAAUUUGCGGUUUAGAACGGGAUGAAGCGGGGGCACAUACGGCAUAAGCGCAUACGACGAACGGGGGAAAUCAUCGGAUCUUAGGCUAUUGCGCGAGUCUAUGUGGCGAUGGCGGAUUAGCUAGUUGGGGGGGUAAAGGCCCACCAAGGCGACGAUCCGUAGCUGGUCUGAGAGGAUGAUCAGCCACACUGGAACUGAGACACGGUCCAGACUCCUACGGGAGGCAGCAGUGGGGAAUAUUGGACAAUGGGCGCAAGCCUGAUCCAGCCAUGCCGCGUGGGUGAAGAAGGCCUUCGGGUUGUAAAGCCCUUUUGGUGGGAAAGAAAAGCAGCAGGUUAAUACCCCGCUGUUCUGACGGUACCCAAAGAAUAAGCACCGGCUAACUUCGUG